AGUUGAGAGGAUUUUGCUUCUAAUCGUCCUCCAAGGACAACUUCUUUACUUUUGACCUCAAAUCAAAGUCCUA
rnacentral:rRNA from 1 species